rnacentral:lncRNA from 10 species
CGCCCCCCGGCGGGCGGAGCCCGGCGCCGCGGCCAGGAUUUCCCACCUCGCUCCCGCGACUCCGCUGCGGGUCUGCACACCCGAGGACUCGGGGUACUUAACCGAAACUAGCAAUCCCAGGCGGUACAAGGCCCUCCAUCGUAGGCAAAGCACUACCUGAAUGUAGAUUUGGGCCAUACGUUGGAAAAUAAGACAUGAGAGUAUGCUCCGAUCAACUUUUACUGUUCACUGGACAACUAUUUUGGGAAUUUGCAGACCUAUAAAGCCCAUCUAUAAAUCUCAAGCAUGUCCACUUUCAGAGAAGAGAAAUGCUGACAACCAUUUAGUCUCUGAGGACAACACUUUUAAAGUGUAACAAUGUGGCAUCCAGAGCUUAUCCAGAUGAGCGGAGAGCAAAUGAAUUUCCUUCUGCUCCCCUGUUGAAGAGGAGAGAAAAAUUCUUCAAGCUUUAUACAGGACUCCAUCAUAGGACUGGAGAGAGAUUGGAUGUCAGAGUGAUUGAUGUGCUCCUACUGGAAGAAGGCAAACAUCCAUAUGUGAACUGCCUGUGGGGUUUCCAAGGAAAGGAACGGCAGGCAGCCUCUAUGAGCUUAAAGAAGAUAACUGGGACUUUAGUCCUAUAACCUCAAGGAACAGUAUUCUGUGAACCAUCUGAGAAGCUUGGAAGAGGACCCCAAACUCCAAAUAAGAAGCUCAGUGUGUCUGACACCUUGACUGCAGGCUUGGGAGGUCCUGAGCAGAAGAUCCAGUUCAACAGUGCCUGGACUCCUGAUCCACAAAAACUGAUAACAAAUAUUUAUUGUUUUAAGAUGCUAAGUUUGUAGUCAUUUUUUAUACAGCAACAGAAAACUAAACACACACAUAAACAGUUAUAAGUGCUCACUGUAUAUGAGGCUUUUCAUUAAUAAUCUAUAUUUUAUAAUAGAAUUAGAAUAUAGAUCUGUGAAGCUGAAGACACUCAAUCCUUGCUAGAUUUAAAUCAGGAAAAUCAGCUGAGAAUCAUUCCUUGAUAGAACCUGGAAAACAAGACCCUAUGAGAGACCCUGGGAAUUACAUUAAAUUCACUGUGGUUCCCAGUGUCACUGAAGAGGUUUUCCUUUCAUAGUCAGGUAGUCACCAUACUGUUAAGCAUUUGAACACAUGGGCAACUUCCAGAAUAGUUAUGACAUUGAUAUACCAAUCUCCAAAAUUCCUAGAAUACCAUGUUUUCAUGGUUGACCUUCAAAUCAGUCAGUUCUUUGUAACAUUGAGCCAUAAAGAUAGGGCAAAUACUUAAUGUUUUACAUAUAUUCAGAGAUUGACCCUCAAAAUACAGCCCAGAGAAACUCAAAAGAAUUAACUCUAUUUCUUCAAAUUGUGUGACGCCACCAAGGCCAGAUGACUUCAGCAUUGGGAAGGCAAUAUCCAGCUGUCAUCUUCUUGAUCCUCAUAUGCUACUACUAGCAUCUAGCAUUUACUGAGCAGAUAGUUUUAUUGUCCAGUUUUUAAAGAUAAGAAAAUUGAGGUAUUAGGAAAGUUAAGUUGGUUGCCUAGGGAAACACGAAGAUAUAGCCCAGAUUCACUCCCAGGCAGGCAGAUGCCAGUGUCUGCUCUCUUUACCACCGAAAUAUCCUGCUACAUGUACAAUUUCAAUAAAUAUCUGGACUUACUGGAACAAAACAAAUCAACAACAUUCUUAUUUUCUUUCUUCAGUUUAGAUUAAAUAAUUUAAAUGUCUUCUUAAGAAGCUACAGUUUUUUGAGGCACAGAGGGAUAGGAGGGUAGGUCCUACCAGUUGAGUCACUCAGCCCUAUAGUUG